AAUCUUUGGUGGAAGAAUGAAGUCCAGACUAUGAAGCCUAAAGGAAGAACUGCUACAUAGAAGAAAAUACAUCCUGUAUACUGUGUACAUUUAAUUCAGAGGACAAUGAGAAGUAAAUUCAUUCUUUUCCUGAGACUUGGAAGAAAUUAAAUACCACUUUUCCCCCACAUCCACAUUCAUGGAAGAAACAGAAAGCUGAAUCGGAUGACAAGGAGCUGGGAACUAUUACUGCAAAGUCUCAGGUGGAUGUUAGACAUACGGAGAGAAAAGUAGACGCUUGUGAUUCAGUCAGCUGUUAAAGCUAUGAAUGUUUGCUCUUUGAUGUGACUGGGAUUAAUUUAUUAUUUCAUGACAAAAAUCAUGAAUGUUUGAUGACUGCUUAGUGUACAUAACUCUGAAAUCAUGUAAGUAUCCCUUGUUUAACCUUUGAGAUGAAUAGUUUAGCCAUAUAUGCCCAG